rnacentral:lncRNA from 1 species
CAAGAUCGCAUUUACUACACUCCAGGCUGGGUGACAGAGCGAGACUGUCUUAAAAUAAUAAUAAUUAAUAAUAUUAAUAAUAAAAAGAAGUACCAGUUCAUUUUUCUCUUGAGGCACGAUUUGCAUCUCUUUUUUAUUCUUUUAAAUAUUUAAAUUGGACUCAGCUCAUAUAUUGUUAUAUCAAAAGUAUAGAUAAUUGAAAAGUGUGUCAAGCAAAGCUUAGGUUUUCUAAAUAUUAUAUAGUUUCAGAAUUUACAAAGUACUUAGGACAGUUCAUACUCCUUUAUUAAGAAAUUCCAUAUUGGAUAAAUUUAUUCAAUAGGUAAAGUAUUCAAGAAGUAAAUUAUAUGUUGCCAUUGAAGUUGUAUUGUUACAUUCCAUAUUUGUUUUACAGUCAUAUAGGUAUUUUCCUUGUAAUAUUGAAGUCAUUGAGUGGCUUGGAGCCUAUUACAUUGACACCCAAUUUUGGGAAAAAGCUAUUCAGUACUUUGAAAGAGCUUCUCUUAUACAGUAAGUAAUCAUUAGGAUUUUAUGUUUAGUUAAUGUCAUGUCUUGAGUUUUUUUAAUCCCUAGAAUUAGUAUCUGAUAGACCUAGUAAAUUCAAGAACAGAUGUUGAUGGACAUUCAUAAAUUAUUUUUGUUUGUUUGUUGUUUGUUUGAGACGGAGUUUCGCUCUUGUUGCCCAGGUUGCAGUGAGCAGAGAUCGCACCACUGCACUCCAGCCUGGGUGACAGAGCGAGACUCCAUCUCAAUAAGUAAAUAAAUAAAUAAAAUAAGUUUGUAUUGUUCAAGUGAGAUUGUUAUAAGUUUCAGAUGUUAAUUAUAAUACCCAAGGUAAUCAUUAGGAAAAUAACUAAGAAAUCAAAUAGUACACUAUAAAAAAGUAUUAGGAAAAUAACUAAAAAUCGAAAUAGUACACUAAAAAAAAUCAACAAAAUACCAAAAAAGAGUAGUAAUGGAAGAAUUGAGGAAGAAAAAACAUAUAACACAUGCAGAAAACAAAUAGCAGAAGCAAAUCCUUCUGUGUCAAUAAUCACAUUAAAUAUAAAUUUAUUAAACUUUCCCAUUAAAAGAAAAACUUAGCAGAUUGAAUAAGAAAAUCAGGGUCUAUUUAUAUACUGUCUACAAGAGAUGCACUUUAGAUACAAGGACACAAAAGAGGUUGAAAGC